CGGGGUGUAGCGUAGCCCGGUAUCGCGCCUGCUUUGGGAGCAGGAGGUCGUAGGUUCAAAUCCUGCCACCCCGACGA
rnacentral:tRNA from 1 species